UACGAAGGGGGCUAGCGUUGUUCGGAAUUACUGGGCGUAAAGCGCGUGUAGGCGGGUCUUUAAGGCAGGGGGGAAAUGCCAAGGCUCAACCUUGGAACUGCCUUUGAUACUGGAGAUCUUGAGUCCGGGAGAGGUGAGUGGAAUUGCGAGUGUAGAGGUGAAAUUCGUAGAUAUUCGCAAGAACACCAGUGGCGAAGGCGGCUCACUGGCCCGGAACUGACGCUGAGACGCGAAAGCGUGGGGAGCAAACAGG
rnacentral:rRNA from 1 species